UUUCCUUAAGUUCUCCUUUUAUGAAAAAAGCACAGACUCCACCCACGCUGUUUAAGCCCAGGUCUGAGCCAUGGGCUCUGCCCGGCUCACUGCUGUAGUCUCCCUGCAGGGAGGCAGAGAGAAACCCCGGCGAGCAGUGGCCCAGCUGACAGCGUCACUGCAGUAAGGGCAGAGUGACAGAGAAGGAAGAGGGAUAACACCUGCGGUGAAACUCACCACUCCGGGCUGAUCCCAGGAGCCGCAGAUUCAAAAGCAGAGGAAUUAUUUCAAGAUAAUGUCAAAAACUCAGUGGCAACGAUGAAUCGUGGAAGAUUUCUUUCAAUUUUGUCCGAAAUCUUUGCCUCUGCUGACGCCCAAGGAAAUGGUAAGGAUUCAGCAAAAUAACAGACGGAAAUUCUUAUCUGGCAAUUGUUCGCUUAAAAGCCAGU
rnacentral:lncRNA from 1 species